AUAUCCUAGCCAGAUCCGGCUGCCAAAACAAAUACACAGUGGACUGGGUGGGGUGGGAAGGUUAAACAAUCAAUAUUUAUUUCUGGCAGGUUGGGAGGGUGGGAAGUCCGAGAUCAAAGCACAGGGUGAUCUGACAUCUGGUGAGGGCCGCCCCAUCCGGGUGUGCAGCUAGCACCUUCUCCCCUUUCUCUGGGCCCCAAUCCCAACUAGAGGGCUCCCCCUUCAGCAUCUUCUCCUCUCCAAAGGCCCCACCUCCACGUACCGUGCGGGGAUUGGAGCUGCACCACACCAGCUCUGCGGGACGACCUCCCGCCUAGCACCCAGGAUGUUGGGUGCCUGGGACGGGGUCGAAGCCGAGACAGGAAGCGCCUGGAGGGAAGGUGCGCUCCUCAGAGGCAGGCCCCAUCCAGACCAGUUCAUCAGCUGAGGGAAUAAAUCAAUGAGAGGGAGCAGAGGAGUGGAGCAGUAGGAAUAUGGGCGGGAAGACGGCGCCGGAAGUUGCCCUCACUCGGCGUUAGAGCACACGUCCUUCCCCUGCGGCGCGGAGGAGGUGCCUGUUCUGUGGUCCCAGCUCUCCCGAGUGAGUCAGAGGUGUGCAAGAGGGACGGGCGAGGAGACACAGAGUUGAUGCCCCGCCCGGCCUGGCCUUUGGCCAGUCCGAGUCUCAGGCCCGCUGCCCCGGGCUUCCCAUCCCUGCGCUCCAAGCCUGUCCCCCUGGGGCCUCCCAGGCCUGUCCACUGAUCGCCCCAUGGGCCGUGCCCCGUGGAGUGGCACAGUUCCUCCUCACUCGGGAGCCUCAUGCGACUUCUCUUCUCCGCACGCCUAUGGGCUCCAGAAAUGACUCAUCUCCGUGGGGCUGCACUCGGCGGUCUUCUCUCACUUCCUGCCUGCUCUCUGCACCACACGUGCUCCCAGGUGAGCCCUGGAGUCUCUCUGCACCACACGUGCUCCCAGGUGAGCCCUGGAGACACACCUGGAUGUACAGGUGCCACUGGAGGUGGAGAGGACGGGGUCAGGUGCAGCGCUAGGGGCAGGUGGUUCCAGAAUCAAGACCUCAGCAAGCGAGGGCCACGGCCAGCAUGGGAACCAAAGCACUGCACUGGGAGGCAACUUCCCGCCCUGCCCAGCAUGACUGAAGCGGCCUCCCGUCAUCCUGGGCAGCCAUGCCUGGCAGCCAGAGGCGGCGAACUCAGGGACAGGAGGCUGCUGAGAUUCCCACUGCACCUCUGGGAAGUACGGGGCUUGGCACAACGGCCCCCACUCGUGGGUACACUCAGUCUAGUUGCUGCUGAGAGACGAAUGGCUUUACCCAGGGGCUGUGGGCAGCGUAGGGCCGUCGAGGGGCUGCACACGUGGACAGUUUACUGCAGCUUAGAUUCCAAACACGCUUUGACCGCGGUGUGUGGGAGGGUGGAUUCCAGGGCAUGUGAGGGCUGGACAAUGACCCAGAGGAUCCCUAUCACUAAGUCAUCAUUUAUCUUGGAAUUAAGGAAAAUAUGGCGGCUGGUUCUCUCCUCUGCCCCUUUUUUCUGCAGGCGGGUUUCCAUGCGGGUUUUCUGGACACUCUGUGACUUCUCCGCUCAAACAUCCCCCUUCUUCCGAAGCCCUGGGUGCUUACUGCACAAAACUGGCAUCGACCCAGGGUCCCAGGCCAGGACCACUGCUUCUAGGGGGUCUGACUCCGGCAUGUGGGGCCUCUUCCACAUCUCCAUCGGGCAGGCAGGGAGGGGGGACACUUGUGCUGCUGCCAGAGGCUGUCUCCUUAAAAUAUUCCAGUCACAUCGCCGGCGGUGCAGCCGUACCCCGGGUGCAUUGUAACUGAGGGAGAAUUUCAUUUUGUUUUUGAAAUGCUGUUAUUACACACUCAGGAAACCCACAAAGGCACCUUGGCAGGACAGGAUCAAAUAAAUACCUGAACUCAGAGUGCAGCAACAUUUACUUAGCAAAUGACAUUUUAAUGCUGCUAGUUGAAUUUACAUACUAAUUAAAAUUUCCCUUUAAAACAUUGAGACUUUUGGCCUCCCUGCCUCCCCGUGAUGACAAAGAUUAUUAUGUCCUGUCAGGCAGAGUUUCCCGUGAUCGGUGGGGACACAUUUGCAGCAUCCCCUGAUUGCUUCCCCAGACAGAAUUCAGUGCCAGGCCUCCUGCACGCCCGUCUGCUGCUCUGGGCUGGGCUGGAGUCACAAGGGAGUCCCUGUCCUCCAACUCCGGAUCACUGCCAGCUGGGGGCCUUGACAGCAACGGAAGUCAUGGCUGCCUUGUUGGGAUGGGGCCCGAGGCCUUUAUAAUCCAGUGCGAUGCCCUCAGGAGCAUUCUUCCUGGGCUUUGGUGGUCUCGGCAUAACUGGAGAGAAAGGCCAAGGCCCACUGGAUGGAGCAAACUGCGGGCUCUAUUCUGGUCCUGAGCCGAGUCUCACUAGGCUGGUCCCAGGGCCUCUGCCCCCUGGCACCAAAGCUGCUGCCUCUCUGAUCCCUGCUCUUCCACUCCGGUGGAGGCACCGGGUUUUUCUGUUUGGGGCAGCAGCCCCUCCUGGGUACUGGAUGAGUAAGCGGGGGCCCAGGUGGCCCCACUUCCACCGAGGCCGAGUAGACCUCCCCUUCCCUUCGGCUCCUGUGCUGGAAAUGUGCCCGUGCUCCCUGCCCAG
ensembl:lincRNA